rnacentral:piRNA from 1 species
UGUCCUCUGUUGGCCCCACGCGUGUCCUU